UAUAUAAAGAUUCUGUAAGUAUAAUGUAUCAGUUGAGUUUAUUUCAACCCGUUAGAAAAAUUCUAAAAUAUUAUUAAUGCUUUUUAAUUUUUGUAACAUUAUAUAAUUAUUCUGUAAGUAUAACGUAUCAGUUUGGUUUACUUCAACUGUUACAAAAUUCAAAAAUAGCAUUCAUUCAUUUCAAUAUUUGCAACAUUUUA
rnacentral:lncRNA from 1 species